GUUUUCCAGUUGGUAGCUCUCUAUACCUCAGUGGAAUCCUAGACCAACGUUUCCUGUUUCGGCUAAAAGGCUGACCUUGCUCGGGCAGCAGCUGUUUGUUAUCGUGUGUGCAUUUUCCAAACAUGCUACAAAAGACCCCCACUGUGCUAGAAGCCAGACUCAACUGCCCCUGACAUCCAGGCCACUCUGUAUCUCUGGUUUCAGGCCGACUGGAUUUCAUCAGCAUGGACCGCUGCUUCCCCAGGCAGUCAGAGAUGACAGGAAAGACUCCAGUGGAAUGUAAUCAACCCCCCGAGAUCCAAACUGUAAUCAGUUCAGAAGCCUAAAGAUGCAAGGGGGAGAAAAGACAGGCCAAGAGGAGUCAUUGAGCCAAAUGAACACAAGUACACAUCUCUAUUCAACAGAAAGAAAAUGGUACAAGCUCUACUGACUGGAAAGAAAUGAGCAAAGAAGGCAACAGUAUAGAUCUUUUUUUCCCCAACAGAAAUGCCAGAUUGCCUUUAUUUAAUUUAGGAAUAAAUGUACUGUGUGGC
rnacentral:lncRNA from 1 species